GGGUGUAAGGGAGCGCAGGCGGGUCAGCAAGUCAUUGGUGAAAUUCUCGGGCUUAACCCGGGGACUGCCAUUGAUACUACUGAUCUUGAGUAUGGAAGAGGUUGGUGGAAUUCAUGGUGUAGCGGUGAAAUGCGUAGAUAUCAGGAAGAACACCGGUGGCGAAGGCGGUUUCCUGGCCCGAUAUUGACACUGAUGCGCGAAAGUGUGGGGAGCAAACAGGAUUAGAUACCCUGGUAGUCCACACUGUAAACGUUGGGCACUAGGUGCUGGUUCGCAAGGAUCAGCGCCGCAGCUAACGCAUUAAGUGCCCCGCCUGGGGAGUACGGCCGCAAGGCUAAAACUCAAAGGAAUUGACGGGGGCCCGCACAAGCGGCGGAGCAUGCGGAUUAAUUCGAUGCAACGCGAAGAACCUUACCAAGGCUUGACAUAUACCGGAAAAGCGUAGAAAUACGCUCCCCGUAAGGUCGGUAUACAGGUGGUGCAUGGUUGUCGUCAGCUCGUGUCGUGAGAUGUUGGGUUAAGUCCCGCAACGAGCGCAACCCUCGUCCUAUGUUGCCAGCACGUAAUGGUGGGAACUCAUGGGAGACUGCCGGGGUCAACUCGGAGGAAGGUAAU
rnacentral:rRNA from 1 species